ACUGGGCCUAUAGAUGGCACCACUUCGCUCACUACGGCGGUUGCUUAAUGCUAGUGGCUUUGAUGCACUCCCACGUGGGAAAUAGUCACGGUUGCCAAGUUUUCAUGCGCCCAGCGUCAUGGUAAGCACUCGGCGGCUUAAAAAUGACCCGCUGUUUGGAAUCGACUCUCGGUGGAGCUGGAUCACAGCCUUCUUCUGUGCUUGGGUGUUGUUCCUGGCCAUGGCGACACCCCGUAUGGCUGGAAUUUUCUUUUAUGGAAUCGUCGAAACAUUCGGGGCAACCAGAAAUGAAGCUUCGUGGCCGGUGUCCCUGGCGGGUACCUUCACAGUAUUAGGAGGUCCAAUAGCUGGCUACCUCUGCCAGCGUUUUUCAUGUCGGGCAGUGCUGCUGGUCUGUUCACCUUUGGCUGGAAUUGGAGUCUGCCUAUGUUACCUGGCGAGAGAUCUCCUUUUUAUCACCAUUUUCUUGGGAAUCUUUCACGGUACUGCGUUGUGCGGCUUGUACGUGGCUUCCAAUAUCCUGCUCGCCCAGCAUUUCGAGAAGCGAAGAGCGACGGCCAUUAGCCUAGUGUUUACAGCGUUCGGCUUCAGCUCUGUGGUUCUUACGCCACUCAUAGAGUUCUUGCGAAAGACGUAUGGAAUCCGUGGAGCGUUUCUCAUUUAUGGUGCGAUUCUCCUAAACACGAUACCAGCCGUUAUUGUUCUCAGAAGCCCGCCGUGGCUGACGAAGUCUGAAAUAGCAAAGAAAGCGAUGCCCAAUGAAGAGGAUCAAAAAAAGG